rnacentral:lncRNA from 1 species
AGAUAAAUUUAUUCAAAUCUUGUUGAAUAACAAGCAAGGCUCUUGUAUCCUUUUUACACUUCUUCAAUUCAAUUUCCUUCUCUUGUAUCUUCAAAACUUUUGCAUUUGCAUAACAAUUUUCAAUUAGACUCCAAAGAUGCUAUGAAAAAGAAAGUCUUAAUCCUAAUACUGCAAAACUAAUAAUUUUCUCCAUUGAAAAUAGACUCAUAUGAAACUUUAAUGAAACAGUUCUCAUGGAAGGAUGUUCCCACUCUUCAAAGCCCAUACAACUACUCAUAGGUCUUUUUUUCCUUUUUAUUUUUUGAAGGAUCUCAGCUAUAGCAAUGAAACUAUAAAACAAGCCCUUGCACCCAUC